rnacentral:misc_RNA from 1 species
AAGUCGUAACAAGGUUUCCGUAGGUGAACCUGCGGAAGGAUCAUUAAUGAGUUUGGACGGAGCUGUUCUGGUCUUUCGGGGCAAGUGAACGCUUCACUCAAUCCAUCUUACACCUGUGCACUUUUGGGGGAAAAAUAACAGAGGAUUCAAAGUUGGAUAACGACAAUGACCCUCACGUUUUUCUCUUCUAUCAAAAAUUACAGUCUUAAGAAAGUCUUUUGUUUUGUGCAAAUAAAUACAACUUUCAGCAACGGAUCUCUUGGCUCUC